rnacentral:rRNA from 1 species
GAACUGUGAGACAGGUGCUGCAUGGCUGUCGUCAGCUCGUGUUGUGAAAUGUUGGGUUAAGUCCCGCAACGAGCGCAACCCUUAUCCUUUGUUGCCAGCGAUUCGGUCGGGAACUCAAAGGAGACUGCCGGUGAUAAACCGGAGGAAGGUGGGGAUGACGUCAAGUCAUCAUGGCCCUUACGAGUAGGGCUACACACGUGCUACAAUGGCGUAUACAAAGAGAAGCGACCUCGCGAGAGCAAGCGGACCUCAUAAAGUACGUCGUAGUCCGGAUUGGAGUCUGCAACUCGACUCCAUGAAGUCGGAAUCGCUAGUAAUCGUAGAUCAGAAUGCUACGGUGAAUACGUUCCCGGGCCUUGUACACACCGCCCGUCACACCAUGGGAGUGGGUUGCAAAAGA